rnacentral:rRNA from 1 species
GACGAACGCUGGCGGCGUGCUUAACACAUGCAAGUCGAACGGAAAGGCCCCUUUGGGGGUACUCGAGUGGCGAACGGGUGAGUAACACGUGAGUAACCUGCCCUUGACUUCGGGAUAACUUCAGGAAACUGGGGCUAAUACCGGAAAGGAAUCCUUGCUGCAUGGUGGGGGUUGGAAAGCUUCGGCGGUUUUGGUUGGACUCGCGGCUUAUCAGCUUGUUGGUGGGGUAGUGGCUUACCAAGGCUUUGACGGGUAGCCGGCCUGGGAGGGCGACCGGCCACAUUGGGACUGGAAUACGGCCCAGCCCCGUACGGGACGGAACAGUGGGGAAGGUUGCACAAUGGGCGGAGGCCUGAUGCAGCAACGCCGCGUGCGGGAAAACGUCCUUCGGGUUGGAAUCCGCUUUCAGCAGGGGAGAAGCUUGUGGUGACGGUACCUGAAGAAGAAGCACCGGCUAACUACGUG